rnacentral:rRNA from 1 species
GUGGAUAGGGGAGAAAUUCCAAUCGAACCCGGAGAUAGCUGGUUCUCCUCGAAAUAGCUUUAGGGCUAGCCUCAUGAGAGUCUUUUGGAGGUAGAGCACUGAAUUCCCGCGGGGGCGUCAAAGCUUACCAAAGGAUAUCAAACUCCGAAUGCCAGUAAGAUGAUUCAUGGGAGUCAGACUACACGAGAUAAGUUGGGUAGUCAAAAGGGAAAGAGCCCAGACCUGCAGCUAAGGUCCCAAAAUGUGUGUUAAGUGGAAAAGGAUGUGGGAUUUCAAAGACAACCAGGAUGUUGGCUUAGAAGCAGCCAUACAUUAAAAGAGUGCGUAAUAGCUCACUGGUCGAGAGGUCCUGCGCCGAAAAUGUCCGGGGCUGAAACACACUACCGAAGCUCAGGAAUUAACGUAGUUAAUUGGUAGAGGAGCAUUCUUAAAGGGAAGAAGCAGUACCGGAAGGAGCUGUGGACUUUUAAGAAGAGAGAAUGCCGGAAUGAGUAGCGAGAGGAAGGUGAGAAUCCUUCCGGCCGAAUACCCAAGGUUUCCAGAGUAAAGCUGAUCUGCUCUGGGUAAGUCGGGGCCUAAGGUGAGGUCGAAAGACGUAGCCGAUGGACAACAGGUUGAAAUUCCUGUACUGCAGUAUAACAGAACUGUGGGGACGCAGAGGGAGAGCACUAGCGGGAAUGGAAUCCCGUGGCAAGCGAGGUAGGAGUCGCGUUGGCAAAUCCGCGUGACAAUCCGAAGACGUGAUGCAUACCGAACAAAAGUAGGGAAAUGUGUGAGCCAGCUGCCAAGAAAAGCCGCUAUUGUUUGUACUGUACCCGUACCGUAAACCGACACAGGUAGGUGAGGAGAGAAUCCUAAGGCCGACGGGAGAAGCAUUGUUAAGGAACUCGGCAAAAUGACUCCGUAACUUCGGGAGAAGGAGUGCCAGUGAGAGCUGGCCGCAGAGAAUUGGCCCAAGCAACUGUUUAGCAAAAACACAGGUCUAUGCAAAACCGUAAGGUGAAGUAUAUGGGCUGACGCCUGCCCGGUGCUGGAAGGUUAAGGGGAGAGGUUAGCGCAAGCGAAGCUUUGAACUUAAGCCCCAGUAAACGGCGGCCGUAACUAUAACGGUCCUAAGGUAGCGAAAUUCCUUGUCGGGUAAGUUCCGACCCGCACGAAAGGCGUAAUGAUUUGGGCACUGUCUCGACAAUGCACCCGGUGAAAUUGAAAUACCAGUGAAGAUGCUGGUUACCUGCGCCAGGACGGAAAGACCCCAUGGAGCUUUACUCCAGCUUGAUACUGGGAUUCGGUAUUGCAUGUACAGGAUAGGUGGGAGGCUAAGAAGUGGUAACGCCAGUUGCCAUGGAGCCGCUGUUGGGAUACCACCCUUGCAGUACUGGGUUUCUAACCAGCAGCCGUGAUCCGGCUGGGGGACAAUGUCAGGUGGGGAGUUUGACUGGGGCGGUCGCCUCCGAAAGGGUAUCGGAGGCGCUCAAAGGUUCCCUCAGAAUGGUCGGAAACCAUUCGAAGAGUGCAAAGGCAGAAGGGAGCUUGACUGCGACACCGACGGGUGGAGCAGGUACGAAAGUAGGACUUAGUGAUCCGGUGGUAUGAAAGUGGGAUUGCCAUCGCUCAACGGAUAAAAGCUACCCUGGGGAUAACAGGCUUAUCACUCCCAAGAGUUCACAUCGACGGAGUGGUUUGGCACCUCGAUGUCGGCUCAUCGCAUCCUGGGGCUGUAGUAGGUCCCAAGGGUUGGGCUGUUCGCCCAUUAAAGCGGUACGCGAGCUGGGUUCAGAACGUCGUGAGACAGUUCGGUCCCUAUCCGGCGUGGGCGUAGGAUAUUUGAGAGGAGCUGACCUUAGUACGAGAGGACCGGGUUGGACUGACCUCUGGUGCACCGGUUGUCAUGCCAAUGGCACAGCCGGGUAGCCAAGUCGGGAAGGGAUAAACGCUGAAGGCAUCUAAGCGUGAAGCCCCCCUCAAGAUGAGAUAUCCCCCGCAUAAGCGGUAAGACCCCUUGA